CAAACGUAGCCUCACAGUUUCGAUCGUUUUGAAGUGGUUACGGACGGUUAAUAGAACAAGUUAUUGGUGCCGCGACUGGACGCUAAAACCGAGAACGUGGUUCGUUGCGGUAUUGACACGACCGGUCGUUAACACGUUAAGGACCAUGUUUGUGGUACGUUUUGAGAUAACACUCAGUUCACCAUUCAACAUUUCACUUCAUUAUUAAACUCUCCUCAGAUUGAUAUUAGGCCGUUCCCGGUGGUGGUGCUAUACCGGGACCACCCACGACGGAGUUCAUGAAGCGGAC